UGUAAGUUUACUUCCCCUAUUAGAAGUUUACUAGGGGUAGUACACUUUACUUUUCAGCAUAUAAGUUGAUUUUUUUUCUCUAUUUUAAUGUGUAUAGUGACUAUGGAGAUAUUGUAUUGCAUGUUUACUACCCCAGUAGAAGUUUACUAGGGGUAGUAAACUUUAAUUUUUCGCAUAUAAGUUUGGUUUUUGUUGUUUUAAAGUGUAUACUGACCUAGGAAAUAUUGUAUUGCAGGUUUACUACCCCCAGUAGAAGUUUACUAGGGGCAGUAAACUUUAUUUGUCCGCAUCUAAGUUGAUUUUUUUUUGUGUUUUAAUGUAUAUACUGACUAGGAAAAUAUUGUAUUGCAAGUUUACUACCCCCAGUAACUUACUGGGGUAGUAAACUUAUUUUUCUACAUUUAAGUUGAUUUUUCAUUGUUUUAAUGUGUAUAAUGGCAUUAGAGCUACUGUUUUGCAAGGUUACUACCCCCAGUAAAAGUUUACUACACAUCUAAGUUGAUUUUUCUCCGUUUGAAUAUAAAUUAUGGCAUUGGAGCUACUGUUUUGCAAGUUUACUUCCCCUGGUAAAAGUUUACUAGGGGUAGUAAACUUCAUUUUUUUCGCAUCUAAGUUGAUUUUUCUCCUUUUAAAUGUGAAUUAUGGCAUUGGAGCUACUGUUUUGCAAGUUUACUACUACCCUCAGUAAAAGUUUACUAGGGGUAGUAAACUUCAUUUUUUGCAUGUAAGUUGAUUUUUCUUCGUUUGAAUGUGAAUUAUGGCAUUGGGGCUACUGUUUCGCAAGUUUACUACCCCCCAGUAAAAGUUUACUAGGGUAGUAAACUUUAUUUUUUGCCGGUAUGCUUCCGGCAAGAUCCGGUGACAUUUUUUUAAAAAAAUCCAGUGAGACUCAGGCGUCUCCGGCGAUUUUCCAAUCACCAUCAAUUUUCCGGCGACCGGUUACCGGAAUCCGGCAACCGGUGUUUGGCGAUCGGAAUCUGGUGACCGGCGUCGGUGUUCGGUGUGCUUCCGGGAAAGUCUUCCCUUCUUCUUUUUCAUUUUUUUCUCUUUAAAUAAAGGUUAA
rnacentral:lncRNA from 1 species